CCGCGGUAUCCUAACCGUGCGAAGGUAGCGCAAUCAAUUGCCCUAUAAAUGAGGGCCUGUAUGAAUGGUAUGACGAGGGUUUAACUGUCUCUUUUUUCCAGUCAGUGAAACUGAUCUGUCCGUGCAGAAGCGGACAUUUUUAUACAAGACGAGAAGACCCUAUGGAGCUUUAGGCACUAACCAACUAUCGGAAGCAAUUUUACAAGUAAAUUCCACUUUAGAUUUUCUGGUAAUGUAGUCUUAGGUUGGGGCGACCACGGGAGAAAAAGAAGCUCCCAAGUAGACAGGGAAUAACCCUGAAACCAAGAGCUACGGCUCUAAGUCGCAAAAUAUUUGACUAAUAUGAUCCGGCCGAUGGCCGAUUAACGAACCAAGUUACCCUAGGGAUAACAGCGCAAUCCUCUCCCAGAGUCCUCAUCGACGAGAGGGUUUACGACCUCGAUGUUGGAUCAGGACAUCCUAAUGGUGCAGCCGCUAUUAAGGGUUCGUUUGUUCAACGAUUAAAGUCCUACAUGAUCUGAGUCCAAAACAAGGAGA
rnacentral:rRNA from 1 species